rnacentral:lncRNA from 10 species
GGCUCCUUUUUGGCAAUAGACUGCUAGAUUGAGGAAGCCUGACUUGGUUGUCUGUAUAACUUUCUCAAAGUACUAGGUGGCCUUGGAGCAGUUACCACAGUUAGUCAUUACCUUCUUGAUUAUGUGAUUGUGUGGUUAAUAGCUAUUUCCUCCACUUGGUCACAAGCUUCAUGAAGGCACAAGCCUUGCUGUUGUUUCGAAAAUCAGCAUUGUGGCUGAGUGUGGGGACUCAUGCGUAUAAUCUCAGCACUUUGGAAGGCCAAAGUGAGAGAACUGCCUGAGCCCAGGAGUUUGAGACCAGCCUGAGCAAGAUAGUGAGACAUCCUCUCUUAAAAAAAAAAAAAAAAUUACCUGGGUAUGAUGGUGCACCUAUAAUACUAGCUAUUUGGGAGGCUGAGGUGAGAAAAUAAUUUGAGUCCAGGAGUUCGAGGCUGCAGUGAGCCGUAAUCGUGCCACUGUACUCCAGCCUGGGAGAUAGAGCGAGAUCCUGUCUAAAAAAGAAAAGAAAAGAAAAGAAAAGAAAAGAAAAUCAGCAUUGUAUCCCCAGAACCUGCUACAGUGUACUGUACACUUAAUAAAUAUUGGUUGAAUGAAUGAACUGAAUCAGAGUGACUAUUUUUAUUUUUUUAUUCCCUUAAUGCCAGAACCUAUGUUAUGAAACCUCUGUUUGGAGAGCUAUAAGCAGACAUAUUGUUGGAUGAAAAUCUGUGUAUUUAAGAAUAUGUCGUAAGACUGCAUUUUGUGCUAGCAAGAUGCAGGCCAUGGAGCCUGGGUUAGGCCAUGAUUUAGCAGUUGUCUGGAAUUUCCCACUCUGCUA